rnacentral:rRNA from 1 species
CCUACGGGGGGCUGCAGUCGAGAAUCUUCGGCAAUGGGCGAAAGCCUGACCGAGCGACGCCGCGUGAGCGAAGAAGGCCCUAUGGGUUGUAAAGCUCUGUCAGAUUGGGAAGAAAACCUCGUGAUUAAUACCUGCGAGGCUUGACGGUACCAUCAGAGGAAGCACCGGCUAACCCCGUGCCAGCAGCCGCGGUAAUACGGGGGGUGCAAGCGUUGUUCGGAUUCACUGGGUAUAAAGGGUGCGCAGGCGGCCUGUUAAGUCAGAGGUGAAAUCUGUCGGCUCAACCGACAGACUGCCCCUGAAACUGACAGGCUUGAGUCCGGGAGAGGAAGGUGGAAUUCCAGGUGUAGCGGUGAAAUGCGUAAAUAUCUGGAGGAACACCGGUGGCGAAGGCGGCCUUCUGGCCCGGAACUGACGCUCAGGCACGAAAGCUAGGGGAGCGAACGGGCUUAGAUACCCCUGUAGUC